rnacentral:rRNA from 1 species
GCAGUCGAGCGAAUGGAUUAAGAGCUUGCUCUUAUGAAGUUAGCGGCGGACGGGUGAGUAACACGUGGGUAACCUGCCCAUAAGACUGGGAUAACUCCGGGAAACCGGGGCUAAUACCGGAUAACAUUUUGAACUGCAUGGUUCGAAAUUGAAAGGCGGCUUCGGCUGUCACUUAUGGAUGGACCCGCGUCGCAUUAGCUAGUUGGUGAGGUAACGGCUCACCAAGGCAACGAUGCGUAGCCGACCUGAGAGGGUGAUCGGCCACACUGGGACUGAGACACGGCCCAGACUCCUACGGGAGGCAGCAGUAGGGAAUCUUCCGCAAUGGACGAAAGUCUGACGGAGCAACGCCGCGUGAGUGAUGAAGGCUUUCGGGUCGUAAAACUCUGUUGUUAGGGAAGAACAAGUGCUAGUUGAAUAAGCUGGCACCUUGACGGUACCUAACCAGA